rnacentral:rRNA from 1 species
GAUGAACGCUGGCUACAGACUUAACACAUGCAAGUCGAGGGGAAACGACGGGGAAGCUUGCUUCCCCGGGCGUCGACCGGCGCACGGGUGAGUAACGCGUAUCCAACCUGCCUCUGACUGAGGGAUAACCCGUCGAAAGUCGGCCUAAUACCUCAUGGUAUCGUCUGCGGGCAUCCAACGACGAUUAAAGAUUUCAUCGGUCAGGGAUGGGGAUGCGUCUGAUUAGCUUGUUGGCGGGGUAACGGCCCACCAAGGCUACGAUCAGUAGGGGUUCUGAGAGGAAGGUCCCCCACAUUGGAACUGAGACACGGUCCAAACUCCUACGGGAGGCAGCAGUGAGGAAUAUUGGUCAAUGGGCGAGAGCCUGAACCAGCCAAGUAGCGUGCAGGAAGACGGCCCUAUGGGUUGUAAACUGCUUUUAUGCGGGGAUAAAGUGAGGGACGUGUCCCUCAUUGCAGGUACCGCAUGAAUAAGGACCGGCUAAUUCCGUG